rnacentral:misc_RNA from 1 species
UCGUAUAACGGGGGUGCAAAGGCUGUCGCUGACCUUUCAAAAGGUCGUGCACGCUCGAGCACUCUCAUACAUCCGUCUCACCUUUGUGCAUCACCGCGUGGGUCCUCUUUGCAGGAGGGCUCACGUUUUCACACAAAAACUCCAUACAGUGUAGAAUGUUAUUUUUGCGGUCACACGCAAUCAAUA